GGCUCCAUAGCUCAGUGGUUUAGAGCCCUAGCCUCCUAAAUUAGGCGUCGUGAGUUCAGUUCUCACUGGGGCCU